AUGCAUUUUUCUGAAAAUUUAGAUUUGGUUAAAAAGAAAAAAGAAAAGAAAUUAAAGAAUGAAUGAAUUUAUAUGAGAAAAUGACAAAAAAAAAUAGAAGAUUAAUGGUCGACUGGAAUCGAUUGUAGUCAUAAUUUUCCAAAUCAAGACAUUAUUAAAGAGAAUUCUGUGGGAGGAAGAUUUAUAUGAUAAUACCAGAUGUUGGUAGAGAAAGUACAUAGAUCAUUGGACUUAUAUUUUAUCCUCAAUUACACUAUUAUUUGCAUUCUGUCAAAGAAAUAGUGAAGAAAUCGGUCAUUGGCUGAAUUAUUUUGAAAUAUCCCUUUAGGGAAGAAAAUAAUCUUUUAUUGUGAUAAUGUGGUAUUUUGUUGUAUUAAACUUUGUUUUAUUUGCUCUUUCCCUCCAUAUGUUUCUGAAUACUAAGUCAAUAACCAAGUCCCUGGAUAAUAAGUUUAGGAAGUCUGCCCUGAAGUGUCAUUGAAGGGGGAUUUAAAUUUUGGUAAAUUAAACAUCCUAAGUAGGUCAACUAGUGGAUGAUCCACUUAUAUUUGAAUGGACCAACAUUCAAUUAAAUACUUCACAUUCUCUUCUGGGUUUUAUUUAUGGCCUUAUCCAAUCCUUCUAUUUAUAUAAAAGGUUUGAUGACUUUGGGAUAGAAAAUUUAUAGAAAUUGUUCUGUAUUUUGUAGAAUUUAUGCACUUGCUGAUAGCUUAGAUUAACAUAUUCUUUAUGAAAUUAGUUUAUAACUUAAAUAUUGUGUAAUGGAAUUUCUCCUGGUUAGAUUGGCAAACAGAUUGUAACAAAAUUUUUAAUGGGAAAAGUUAAAAGGCAUUUAAGAAACUACAAAUCCUUGACCUGUAUCACAUGCAGAUUUAUUAACAAUGAAAAUAAAUUUGGUGAGUCCUAAGUACUUUUCUGGAAAUACCUUCAUCACGAAAACACGAAACCAAAAAUUUGAAAGCCAGGAAUGAAUAAGUACUUUAGGAGCUAUAUGACCAAAAGAGAAGCAAAACAGAAUAGCCCUAACAAUCUAAGGUCAACUAGGCCUGAGGGAGCCCAAAUCAUCGAGGGUCAACUAGGCCUAAGGUAGCCCAAACCAUCUAAGGUCAACUAGGCCUGAGGGAGCCCAAACCAUCUAAGGUCAACUAGGCCUGAGGGAGCCCAAACCAUCUAAGGUCAACUAGGCCUGAGGGAGCCCAAACCAUCUAAGGUCAACUAGGCCUGAGGGAGCCCAAACCAUCUAAGGUCAACUAGGCCUGAGGGAGCCCAAACCAUCUUAAUGUCAACUAGGCCUGAGGGAGCCCAAACCAUCUAAGGUCAACUAGGCCUGAGAGAGCCCAAACCAUCUAAGGUCAACUAGGCCUGAGGGAGCCCAAACCAUCUAAGGUCAACUAGGCCUGAGGGAGCCCAAACCAUCUAAGGUCAACUAGGCCUGAGGGAGCCCAAACCAUCUAAGGUCAACUAUGUCUGAGGGACCCCAAACCAGCUUAAAGGUCAACUAUACCUGAAGUCAACUAAGGCCUGAGGGAGUUGGAUCCUUAUAAUUACUUUCUUAAUGAUUUCUUAAUUUACCAAUGGAAAAUUUAGGAAAUGUAUAAUAUGAAUCAUGUCAGUGGUGUAUCUUUAUUUAGUGAAGGUUUUACAGAUAAAAAAAAUAAAGCAAAAGAUGCAAAUGUUAAGGAAGGAAGUUGUUACUGUUGUCUUUAGGAAGAUUUUUAAGCAAAAUGUGUUUUUUUUUAUUAUAAGUUAUAUCUGUACUGGAGACAGAAGUUGUCUUUUGAUUUUGUUGGUCUUCUAAUGUCUGCACAUAUGGUUGAUGUAAGUGAUCUUUGAUCAUCUGUUGUUCCAAAGUACAGAAUACAGACUUAUUGUUAU